GUCCAGACUCCUACGGGAGGCAGCAGUGGGGAAUAUUGGACAAUGGGCGAAAGCCUGAUCCAGCCAUGCCGCGUGUGUGAUGAAGGUCUUCGGAUUGUAAACCUCUUUAAGUUGGGAGGAAGGGCACUGAGCUAAUACCUUGCUGUUUUGACGUUACCGACACAAUAAGCACCGGCUAACUCUG
rnacentral:rRNA from 1 species